GGUUAAGCGACUAAGCGUACACGGUGGAUGCCCUGGCAGUCAGAGGCGAUGAAGGACGUGCUAAUCUGCGAUAAGCGUCGGUAAGGUGAUAUGAACCGUUAUAACCGGCGAUUUCCGAAUGGGGAAACCCAGUGUGAUUCGUCACACUAUCAUUAACUGAAUCCAUAGGUUAAUGAGGCGAACCGGGGGAACUGAAACAUCUAAGUACCCCGAGGAAAAGAAAUCAACCGAGAUUCCCCCAGUAGCGGCGAGCGAACGGGGAGCAGCCCAGAGCCUGAAUCAGUGUGUGUGUUAGUGGAAGCGUCUGGAAAGGCGCGCGAUACAGGGUGACAGCCCCGUACACAAAAAUGCACAUACUGUGAGCUCGAUGAGUAGGGCGGGACACGUGGUAUCCUGUCUGAAUAUGGGGGGACCAUCCUCCAAGGCUAAAUACUCCUGACUGACCGAUAGUGAACCAGUACCGUGAGGGAAAGGCGAAAAGAACCCCGGCGAGGGGAGUGAAAAAGAACCUGAAACCGUGUACGUACAAGCAGUGGGAGCACAGAGCAAUCUGUGUGACUGCGUACCUUUUGUAUAAUGGGUCAGCGACUUAUAUUCUGUAGCAAGGUUAACCGAAUAGGGGAGCCGAAGGGAAACCGAGUCUUAACUGGGCGUUAAGUUGCAGGGUAUAGACCCGAAACCCGGUGAUCUAGCCAUGGGCAGGUUGAAGGUUGGGUAACACUAACUGGAGGACCGAACCGACUAAUGUUGAAAAAUUAGCGGAUGACUUGUGGCUGGGGGUGAAAGGCCAAUCAAACCGGGAGAUAGCUGGUUCUCCCCGAAAGCUAUUUAGGUAGCGCCUCGUGAAUUCAUCUCCGGGGGUAGAGCACUGUUUCGGCAAGGGGGUCAUCCCGACUUACCAACCCGAUGCAAACUGCGAAUACCGGAGAAUGUUAUCACGGGAGACACACGGCGGGUGCUAACGUCCGUCGUGAAGAGGGAAACAACCCAGACCGCCAGCUAAGGUCCCAAAGUCAUGGUUAAGUGGGAAACGAUGUGGGAAGGCCCAGACAGCCAGGAUGUUGGCUUAGAAGCAGCCAUCAUUUAAAGAAAGCGUAAUAGCUCACUGGUCGAGUCGGCCUGCGCGGAAGAUGUAACGGGGCUAAACCAUGCACCGAAGCUGCGGCAGCGACGCUUAUGCGUUGUUGGGUAGGGGAGCGUUCUGUAAGCCUGCGAAGGUGUGCUGUGAGGCAUGCUGGAGGUAUCAGAAGUGCGAAUGCUGACAUAAGUAACGAUAAAGCGGGUGAAAAGCCCGCUCGCCGGAAGACCAAGGGUUCCUGUCCAACGUUAAUCGGGGCAGGGUGAGUCGACCCCUAAGGCGAGGCCGAAAGGCGUAGUCGAUGGGAAACAGGUUAAUAUUCCUGUACUUGGUGUUACUGCGAAGGGGGGACGGAGAAGGCUAUGUUGGCCGGGCGACGGUUGUCCCGGUUUAAGCGUGUAGGCUGGUUUUCCAGGCAAAUCCGGAAAAUCAAGGCUGAGGCGUGAUGACGAGGCACUACGGUGCUGAAGCAACAAAUGCCCUGCUUCCAGGAAAAGCCUCUAAGCAUCAGGUAACAUCAAAUCGUACCCCAAACCGACACAGGUGGUCAGGUAGAGAAUACCAAGGCGCUUGAGAGAACUCGGGUGAAGGAACUAGGCAAAAUGGUGCCGUAACUUCGGGAGAAGGCACGCUGAUAUGUAGGUGAAGCGACUUGCUCGUGGAGCUGAAAUCAGUCGAAGAUACCAGCUGGCUGCAACUGUUUAUUAAAAACACAGCACUGUGCAAACACGAAAGUGGACGUAUACGGUGUGACGCCUGCCCGGUGCCGGAAGGUUAAUUGAUGGGGUUAGCGCAAGCGAAGCUCUUGAUCGAAGCCCCGGUAAACGGCGGCCGUAACUAUAACGGUCCUAAGGUAGCGAAAUUCCUUGUCGGGUAAGUUCCGACCUGCACGAAUGGCGUAAUGAUGGCCAGGCUGUCUCCACCCGAGACUCAGUGAAAUUGAACUCGCUGUGAAGAUGCAGUGUACCCGCGGCAAGACGGAAAGACCCCGUGAACCUUUACUAUAGCUUGACACUGAACAUUGAGCCUUGAUGUGUAGGAUAGGUGGGAGGCUUUGAAGUGUGGACGCCAGUCUGCAUGGAGCCGACCUUGAAAUACCACCCUUUAAUGUUUGAUGUUCUAACGUUGACCCGUGAUCCGGGUUGCGGACAGUGUCUGGUGGGUAGUUUGACUGGGGCGGUCUCCUCCUAAAGAGUAACGGAGGAGCACGAAGGUUGGCUAAUCCUGGUCGGACAUCAGGAGGUUAGUGCAAUGGCAUAAGCCAGCUUGACUGCGAGCGUGACGGCGCGAGCAGGUGCGAAAGCAGGUCAUAGUGAUCCGGUGGUUCUGAAUGGAAGGGCCAUCGCUCAACGGAUAAAAGGUACUCCGGGGAUAACAGGCUGAUACCGCCCAAGAGUUCAUAUCGACGGCGGUGUUUGGCACCUCGAUGUCGGCUCAUCACAUCCUGGGGCUGAAGUAGGUCCCAAGGGUAUGGCUGUUCGCCAUUUAAAGUGGUACGCGAGCUGGGUUUAGAACGUCGUGAGACAGUUCGGUCCCUAUCUGCCGUGGGCGCUGGAGAAUUGAGGGGGGCUGCUCCUAGUACGAGAGGACCGGAGUGGACGCAUCACUGGUGUUCGGGUUGUCAUGCCAAUGGCACUGCCCGGUAGCUAAAUGCGGAAGAGAUAAGUGCUGAAAGCAUCUAAGCACGAAACUUGCCCCGAGAUGAGUUCUCCCUGACUCCUUGAGAGUCCUGAAGGAACGUUGAAGACGACGACGUUGAUAGGCCGGGUGUGUAAGCGCAGCGAUGCGUUGAGCUAACCGGUACUAAUGAACCGUGAGGCUUAACCUU
rnacentral:rRNA from 1 species